UGUGGAGUCUUUUGCAUGAAG
rnacentral:miRNA from 1 species